rnacentral:rRNA from 1 species
UACAGAGGUCCCAAGCGUUGUUCGGAUUCACUGGGCGUAAAGGGUGCGUAGGUGGUGAGGUAAGUCGGAUGUGAAAGCUCGGAGCUCAACUCCGAAAUGGCAUUGGAAACUACCUUGCUCGAGGGUUGGAGGGGGGACUGGAAUGCUUGGUGUAGCAGUGAAAUGCGUAGAUAUCAAGCGGAACACCAGUGGCGAAGGCGAGUCCCUGGACAACUCCUGACACUGAGGCACGAAAGCUAGGGGGAGCAAACAGG